rnacentral:lncRNA from 1 species
AGGCACUCUUUGCUUUCUGCAGGGUCUGUGUUCUGUGGUCAAUUUGCUUGCUGAGGUUGUUGAAGCGCUGGUUGAGCUUGUAGAGCUCGGCUUCCUGCCGCUCAAUGUCAGGGCAGUGCUCCUGGAACUUGCUGGCCAGGGUGUUGGAGCAGGUCUUGGUCCUCAGCAAGUUCUGCUCCGCCUCAUUGAGCAAGAACCUUUUGGAUUGGAGCUCAGAGCCCAUGGCCAGCAGCUCUUCU